rnacentral:rRNA from 1 species
CUACGGAGGCUGCAGUGAGGAAUAUUGCACAAUGGAGGAAACUCUGAUGCAGCAACGCCGCGUGGAGGAUGACGCAUUUCGGUGUGUAAACUCCUUUUAUAUGUCAAGAAAAUGACGGUAGCAUAUGAAUAAGCUCCGGCUAACUCCGUGCCAGCAGCCGGGGUAAUACGGAGGGAGCAAGCGUUACUCGGAAUCACUGGGCGUAAAGGACGCGUAGGCGGGAUAGAAAGUCAGGUGUGAAAUCCUAUGGCUCAACCAUAGAACUGCACUUGAAACUUCUAACCUAGAGUAUGGGAGGGGAAGAUGGAAUUAGUGGUGUAGGGGUAAAAUCCGUAGAUAUCACUAGGAAUUCCAAAAGCGAAGGCGAUCUUCUGGAACAAUACUGACGCUAAGGCGUGAAAGCGUGGGGAGCAAACAGGAUUAGAUACCCGUGUAGUC